AAGCCCUGUAAGGAUUUGAAAUUCACAAAUCAUCUUGGAAACAAUUUUUGAACCAUGUCAGGAUUUUUUCACUUUCUUCAAGGGUGACAAAGUAUCUUCUGAGAAUAAGUUUUAAUUUUUUUAUAACAGUGAAUCAUUUGGAGUUAAAAUUGGCAAAAAUGUGGUUGCUCAAACUGAGUAACUUUUAAACGAGAAAUAAGGGGUAACUAUCAAAAAGAUUAUUUUCUUUGUUCAGCUUUUAGACUGUCCUUAAAGACCAUUCCAAAAGAUAGUACUGACAGUUUUCUGAGGUGAUUAUUUUUAAAGGAUACCACUUAUUUAGACAGUAUAUUUUAGAAAGAUUGUUGAACUGGUUAACUUUGUAGAUACUUCUUAUUUUUCUGUUCUAACAAUUAAAAACUUUAUUUUCCCCUAGAAUAAUAAAUAUAUAUGAUUUGUUUUAUUCCUCUUAUAUUAGAGUAUAUGUACUUUUUAAUUAUAUUUUUUAAACUAAGGCUUCUGUAUGAUGAAAGAGUCCAAAACUUGAUGAGAAAUUUUUUCACUCUGAAGUCUUAGGGGUGACAACUAGAUUAUAAAAAUAACUCCAUGUGAAUGGAUUUGUGUAUGUGAUGUCACGUAUUGAUACAUUUAUAUUUCUUGUUUUCU